rnacentral:rRNA from 1 species
GGCGGACGGGUGAGUAACGCGUAGGAAUCUACCUAAUGGGGGGGAUACCCAGGGAAACUUGGAUUAAUACCGCAUAAGUCCUAAGGGAGAAAGCGGGGGAUCUUCGGACCUCGUGCCAUUAGAUGAGCCUGCGUAAGAUUAGCUAGUUGGUGAGGUAAGAGCUCACCAAGGCGACGAUCUUUAGCUGGUCUGAGAGGAUGAUCAGCCACACUGGGACUGAGACACGGCCCAGACUCCUACGGGAGGCAGCAGUGGGGAAUAUUGGACAAUGGGGGCAACCCUGAUCCAGCCAUGCCGCGUGUGUGAAGAAGGCCUUCGGGUUGUAAAGCACUUUCAGAUGUGAGGAAAGGUUGCAGAUUAAUACUCUGUAGCUGUGACGUUAACAUCAGAAGAAGGACCGGCUAACUCCGUGCCAGCAGCCGCGGUAAUACGGAGGGUCCGAGCGUUAAUCGGAAUUACUGGGCGUAAAGCGCGC